CCACCGAGCUGGGAGAAUCGAUCGGACCACCAACAGAUUACUUCGACAUUAACUUGCUGGUGAUAGUGUGCAGUUCCAUCUUACUGUUGGUGUGUUUAGUGACUUGCAUCUACAUUCUUGUAAAACGACACAACCACCAGAGACUAACGGAAUACAGAAACUCACUAACUGGUGAAUGUAAAUCAGAACGCAGUAACGCAACAGUGAACACACCACAAAGCAUUCCAACCGAAGUCAACAACAGAGUUUACAGCACUCCUGUACAUUUGGCAGCAGAUAAUAAACACGAAUUAUAUGAAAUCAGUCCAUAUGCACAGUUCGCGAUUGGGUUCCGGACAUUCGGUCACGUUGAUAACCAAGAAGCACCGCGACGAGGGAAGAGAUAUGACAGUGAAACGAGUUUUCAAAUGCGAUCAGAAUCAGAAGAGAGCGAUUGUGUUUCACGCACAACUACAUUGAAAAGCGCACCAAGAAAAACCUGCAGAGUACCCCAUCACAGGUAGCCAUCGAAUUGAAAAUCGCGCUACAAAUUACGGAUUGUUCUUGAAAUAGUUGGGCUAAUUUAUAAACUUAUAAUUUGUGAUUAUGUAGGUUACCAUUGAGGUUAAUUGAUGCAAAAAAACGUUAGCUGAC
rnacentral:misc_RNA from 1 species